UACGUAGGGAGCAAGCGUUGUCCGGAAUCAUUGGGCGUAAAGCGCGCGUAGGUGGCCCCAUAAGUCCGCUGUGAAAGUCAAAGGCUCAACCUUUGAAAGCCGGUGGAUACUGUGGGACUAGAGUACGGAAGGGGCGAGUGGAAUUCCUGGUGUAGCGGUGGAAUGCGCAGAUAUCAGGAGGAACACCAAUAGCGAAGGCAGCUCGCUGUGACGUUACUGACACUGAGGCGCGAAAGCGUGGGGAGCGAACAGG
rnacentral:rRNA from 1 species